UUUAAAUGAAGAAUUAACCAGCUGAGAAUAUCGAAUGUAAAAAAAUGACCCGUUAUCUCUCUUCAGUUCUCGACCAGAGUGCUGUUAUGUACAGCCCCAAAGAACUGGAGGGCGAAGUGGAUCACUCGUUUUUCAACAGCGACUGUGAUUGUGACAGCAUCAGCAAAGAGCGAAAGAAAGAGUGAAAUAAGCUCUGAGGCUAGAAAGGAGCCAGACAUCCAGCCGGAGGCUCCACAGAGAGCAACGUAGUGGUACAGAGAGGUCCGGUGGUGAUACCUCAACCGAGGACCGAGGAGAAGGGUCAUGGCUUUGAGGCCGAAGACAGGAGCAGCUGGUCUUCUAGCAUAUCUUCCAUUAAAUCAGAGGUCAAGGUAAAGUCACAAGGAAAGGGCAACGAGUACUUUAUUCUUAGGGACUCCCGAGUGGCGCAGCGAUCAAAGGCACUGCAUCUCAGUGCUAGAGCCGUCACUACAGACCCUGGUUUGAUUCCAGGCUGUUUCACAUCCGGCCGUGAUUGGGAGUCCCAUUGGGUGGCGCACAAUUGGCCCAGCGUCGUCCGGGUUAGGUCGGUGGUGAAUGGGGACAGCGGUGCAAAGGAGGAAUCUAGCAUCAACUCCAAGAGCUUCAGCGACAUCCGCACGGCGCCAUUGGCAGAGGAGCAGAUAAUGAUGAAGAUGGCUAUCACCAGAGCCAAGAUGAAAGCGAGGAAGAGUCAGGGAGGCCACCGGGUCAAAGACUUCUGAUUUUGACCAUUGGAAGUGUCUAUUUCUUCUGCAUCCGAAGAUACCAAUUCUUAAUCAGAGAGGUACGUGGGGCUGCUUUAAUCGACAUCCACAUCAUCGGUGCCCGGAGGGCAUGUAACGGCUGUUGGAAGGAGAGGACCAAAACGCAGCAUGGUUGAAACCCGUACCUAAUGAGACACGGCAAGAAGCCUAUCAGGAAGCUCCGCCACAGGAGCUUGUCCCCGUCUUCUACUUCAUCCGAGUCAGAGACGGAUGAGCGCUACAGCAGUGGGGAGAGCUGCUCCUCUGAGCCCUCUCACUUUGUGGACAUGUCGCCUGGGGAGUUGCCUGGCCAUCGUCUGCCCUAGUGGAGGCAGUACCAGGAAGAACUACUCCUUUAGCAACGACGAGGUGUGGCAGACCGACUGGGAGAACCAGAGGCUGCUGCGUCAGUUGUCGCGCCCCUCGACCCACUCGCGACCAUGCAGCACUAGUAGCUCCCGUAGGAGAUCCAAUGGAGGAUGAGGGAGUCCGCCCCCUGUCUGCCUCUACCACAGUGCCCUCAACAGGCAGCGUGAGCAGCAGCGCAUCGAGAAGGAGGACCUGGUGUGUGUUCUUCUCUUUUUGUAUGUUUAACUUAUCUUUUGUCAUUGGGUGUUUGGCUUUAUUGUUUCAACGUUACAUUGCGUUUAUUAGGAUUUUUGUUUAUUUCAAGCUCAAAUGAGUCAAGACUUGCUUCAAAGGGGAAAUACAGUGUCGUGAAAAAGUAUUUGCCGAUUUUCGGAUUUUCUCUAUUUUUGCAGCUAACAACCAGUUUUUGAGUGUAAGGGGGCAAUUACUUUUUCACACAGGGACAUUGGGUGUUGCGUAACUUUGUUUAUGAAAUUAAUGAAAUAGGUAUGUAAUUGUUGUGUUAUUUGUUCACUCAAGUUCCCUUUAUCUAAUAAUAGGUUUUGGUUGAAGAUCUGAUAACAUUCCGUAUUAAACAUAUGCAACAGUAGAGAAAAUUAGAAAGUGGGCAAAUACUUUUUCACAGUACUGUAGCUUGAAAAAGUUACCCUUUACUGCCUAGAACUCUUCCAUGUUAUGUACAGACUAAAAGUUAUAUGUCCUUAAAUGAGGCAUUGCUGGCUAAACCCAAAGUCCCAGACAAUCCUCCAAAGGUCAAUAUUUAUGUGAAUUUUCAGGAAAACAUAUGUAAUGGACAUUUCGGUUCCAUUUUCACACAAACUGCUGUCUGCGCACACACUUUUAGUCCAAAAACUAUAAUCAUCUACCUGUGAGGCAGUGGAGGCUCAUCAGAGGAGGAAAGGGAGGACCAUCCUCCUCAUUGAAUUUCAUAAAAAUUAAAUGUGUUAAACUUUUAAAAAGUUAUCCUUUUUAGGUUAAACUAUACUAAAUAUAAUCAUGUCAAAAAAUAAUUGAUUAAAACACACACAUGGUGUGGCUGACAUGUUGUCCACCCAAUCAAAGGAUCAGAGAAUGAAUCUAGUACUGAAAGUAUAAGCUACAGCUAGCUAGCACUGCAGUGCAUAAAAUGUGGUGAGUAGUUGACUCCAAGAGAGAGAAAGACAAUAGUUGAACAGUUUUGAACAAAUACAUUUCUUCCAAACUGAAGGAGAAGCAUGAGAGAAAUAUACAGUGCAUUUGGAAAGUAUUCAGACCCCUUCACUUUUUCCACAUUUUGUUACGUUACAGCCUUAUUCUAAAAUGUAUUAAAUUAUUGUUUUCCCCUCAUCAAUCUACACACAAUCCCCCAUAAUGACAAGGCGAAAACAGGUUUUGGAAAAUUUUAGCAAAUUAAAAAACGGAUACAUUUGAUGAAACCAAGGUUGAACUUCUUGGCCUGAAUGCCAAGUGUCACGUCUGGAGGAAACUGGACACCAUCUACACAAUAAAGCAUGGUGGUGGCAGCAUCAUGCUGUGGAGAUGUUUUUCAGCAGCACAGAUUGGGAGACUAGUCAGGAUCGAGGCAAAGAUGAACGGAGCAAAGGACAGAGAGAUCCUUGAUGAAAACCUAGCUCCAGAGCACUCAGGACCUCAGACUGGGGCGACGGUUCGCCUUCCAACAGGACAACGAACCUAAGCACACAGCCAAGACAAUACAGGAGUGGCUUCGGGACAAGUCUUUGAAUGUCCUUGAGUGGCCCAGCCAGAGCCCGGACUUGAACCCAAUCUAACAUCUUUGAAGAGUCCUGAAAAUAGCUGUGCAGCAAUGCUCCCCAUCCAAUCUGACAGACCUUGAAAGGAUCUGCAGAGAAUAAUGGGAGAAACUCCCCAAAUACAGAUGUUAUUUUUUGUUUUAUUUAUUUAACUAGGCAAGUCAAUUAAGAACAAAUUCGUAUUUACAAUGACGGCCUACCCCAGCCUAAACAGGACAACGCUUGGCAAAUUGUGCUCCGCACAAUGGGACUCCCAAUCACAGACAGAUGUGAUACAGCCUGGAUUCAAACCAGGGACUGUAGUGAUGCAUUUUGCACUGCGAUGCAGUGCCUUAGACCGCUGUGCCACUCAGGAGUCCUAAAGUGCGAAGCGUGUAGUGUCAUACCCAAGAAGACACAAGGCUGUAAUCGCUUCCAAAGGUGCUUCAACAAAGUACUGAGUAAAGGGACUGAAUACUUAUAUACAUGUGAUAUUUUUUAUUUGUAAUAAAUUUGCUAAAAUUUGUAAAAACCUGUUUUUGCUUGUCAUUAUGGGGUAUUGUGUGUAGAUUGAUGAGGGGAAAAAACGAUUUGAUCAAUUUUAAAAUAAGGCUGUAACCUAACAAAAUGUGGAAAAAGUCAAGGGGUCUCUAUACUUUCCGAAGGCACUGAAUGUUAUAUUUAGCUCACACAAAUAUAAGUGUUUUAUUAGAUUGUUGAGAAAUAUAUAUAUUUAGCCAAAUAUACAUAUCAGAAUUUAGCCUUACUCAAGUCUCCUUCUAAAUGUUAUAC
ensembl:lncRNA